UACAGAGGUCUCAAGCGUUGUUCGGAUUCAUUGGGCGUAAAGGGUGCGUAGGUGGCGCCGUUAGUCAGGUGUGAAAUUUCGGAGCUUAACUCCGAAACUGCAUUUGAUACUGCGGUGCUUGAGGACUGGAGAGGAGACUGGAAUUUACGGUGUAGCAGUGAAAUGCGUAGAUAUCGGAAAGAACACCAAGGGCGAAGGCACUCUGCUGGGCCGAAACUGACACUGAGAGACGAGAGCUAGGGGAGCAAAUGGG
rnacentral:rRNA from 1 species